rnacentral:siRNA from 1 species
UUGGCUUCCGCUGCAACUGC